rnacentral:rRNA from 1 species
GCGCAGCAGGCGAGAAAACUCCACAAUGCGCGAAAGCGUGAUGGGGGGAGUCUGAGUGGCACACUUUUAGUGUACCUUUUGCUAAGUCUAGACAGCUUGGCGAAUAAGUGCUGGGUAAGUCCGGUGGCAGCCGCCACGGUAAUACCGGCGGCACAAGUGGUGUUCACGAUUAUUGGGCUUAAAGAGUCCGUAGCUGGCCGAAACCGUCUUAUGUGAAAUAUUGGUGCUUAACAUCAAUGCGUGCAUAAGAUACCUUUCGGCUAGGGAGCGGGAGAGGUCAAGAGUACUCAUGGGGUAGGAGUAAAAUCUUUUAAUCCUAUGAGGACUACCGGUGGCGAAGGCGCUUGACCAGAACGCAUCCGACAGUGAGUGACGAAGGCUAGGAGAACGAAUCGGAUUAGAUACCCCCGUAGUCC